GACAGAGGGUGCAAACGUUGUUCGGAAUUACUGGGCGUAAAGGGCGCGUAGGCGGCACUGUUAGUCAGGCGUGAAAUUCCUGGGCUCAACCUGGGGACUGCGCUUGAUACGGCAGAGCUAGAGGAUGGAAGAGGCUCGCGGAAUUCCCAGUGUAGAGGUGAAAUUCGUAGAUAUUGGGAAGAACACCGGUGGCGAAGGCGGCGAGCUGGUCCAUUACUGACGCUGAGGCGCGACAGCGUGGGGAGCAAACAGG
rnacentral:rRNA from 1 species